rnacentral:rRNA from 2 species
UUAAAUGGCCGCAGUAAUUUGACUGUGCAAAGGUAGCAUAAUAAAUAGUUUUUUAAUUAAAAACUUGUAUGAAAGGUUGGACGAAAUAAAAUCUGUCUUUUUUUAAUAUUAAAGAAUUUAAUUUUUAAGUAAAAAAGCUUAAAUUUUUAUAAAAGACGAGAAGACCCUAUAGAGUUUAAUAUAAUAUUUUAUAUAAUUAAUUUAGAUAUUUUUAUUUUAUAUAGUUUAAUUAUAUUUUAUUGGGGUAAUAAAGAGAUUAAAAUAAUUCUUUUAUUUUUUUAUAUUUAUUUAUAUAUAAUUGAUCUUUUAUUAAGGAUUAAAAGAUUAAAUUACCUUAGGGAUAACAGCGUAAUUUUUUUAGAAAGUUCAUAUUGAUAAAAAAGUUUGCGACCUCGAUGUUGGAUUAAAGAUUAGUUUAGGUGCAAAAGUUUAAAUUUUUGGUCUGUUCGACCAUUAAAUCUUUACAUGAUCUGAGUUCAGACCGGUGUGAGCCAGGUCGGUUUCUAUCUUUAUUAUUUUAAAAUAUUUUAGUACGAAAGGACCAAAUAUUAAUUAAAUUAAUUAUUAUUUGAAUUUUAUUGUUAUUUUGGCAGAUUAGUGCAAUGAAUUUAGAAUUCAUAAAUGUAUUUUAUACAAAUAAUAUUUGUUUUUUUUAGAUAAUUUAUUUAUAUUUAUUAGAUAUUUAUUAUUAAUAAUUUUUGUUUUAAUUAGAGUAGCUUUUUUG